UUUUUUUUUUUUUGAGAAUAACUUUGUUGAGUAUGAUUACUAACAAUAAAAAACUCUGUUUGGUGAAAGACGGUAAAAUCAAAUCAAUUGAGCGAAUCAACCUCCACUCUCUCCCAAUCCCAAUCAUGGAGGAGGAGAGUGUAUAUAUAUAUUGGGGGUAACAAUAUCGGAAAGCCGCUGUGUAAUCUGACCGGCAAGUGUGGAUCUGUUACUGUGACGAUGGUUCCGGCGCCUCGUGCAUCUGGAAUUGUGGCGGCGCGUGUGCACACGUAACAAGGUUCUUCAGUUUCCCGGAGUAGAGGAUGUUUUUACCUCGGAAACUGAGGUAACUUUCGAACGUCUGAUGAAGGCCUAUGGAUUCCUAACUCGAGACUUUUGAAAGGAGAAUCGAUUCUGAAAAACACCUUUCCAAGAGUACACUGCUCUUAUCGCAAAUCCCACCAGACAAUAUUGUUCAAGUAAUUGGUGAAGUCGAGGCCUGAGCUUUGAUGAAUGAACCGUAAUUGAGUAGCUGAUUUUCAGUUUGUUUAUAUUUUUCUUAGUAGUUAAAUAUCAUUUCCAUUAUGAAUUGUAAUUUCUCGCUAACUACAUUUCAACAUUUUGCAGGGGAAUGAAUUUUGCCCUCUUGCUUUAGAAGUUGUUCAUAACGCAGCUGGAUUGUUCAUUCUUCUGAAGAUCAAGUCAACAGUGUACCAUUGAUAAAACCAUGGCACUCGGUUUGUUUCGGCUUUUUCCAAGUUAGACCAUACAAGGACGGCUGAAGAAUGGAAGAGGCGGUGGUGGGUGGUUGGGAGGAGUGAGGGUACUACUACUGGUGGUGGUAGAGUUGUGGGGCCCGCAACCGCUCAAACAAAUACAGCCACCGUCACAUUCAAAAUCCUCAAAUCCACUGCAGAAUAUGGCACAAGCGCGGGGCUCGCAUUUCUCCUUUGGAUAACACUUUGUUCUGUAUUUGCGCGUGCAGUUUUUUCCGCCCUCCACUGC